UGAGUAGGCGGUUACUCAAGUCAUAUGUGAAAGGCCCAGUGCUUAACACUGGGACUGCAUAAGAAACUAGGUAACUAGAGUACGGGAGAGGUAAGCGGAAUUCCUAGUGUAGCGGUGAAAUGCGUAGAUAUUAGGAAGAACACCAGUGGCGAAGGCGGCUUACUGGACCGAGACUGACGCUGAGGCACGAAAGCGUGGGGAGCGAACAGGAUUAGAUACCCUGGUAGUCCACGCUGUAAACGAUGAGAACUAGGUGUUGGGGCGAGAGCCUCGGUGCCGCAGCUAACGCAAUAAGUUCUCCGCCUGGGGAGUACGUUCGCAAGAAUGAA
rnacentral:rRNA from 1 species